ensembl:lncRNA
GAAUGGGGUUGAAUGAAUCCCACAUGAAUGGGAUUUGCCCUCAUAACAAAGACACCAGCCAGCUCCCCCAGCCCUUCUGCCAUGAGAGGAUGCAGCAAGAAGACACAGCUGUCUGUGAACCAGGAAGCAGGACCUCACCUGACACCAUAUCUUCCGACACCUUGAUCUUGGACUUCCCAACCUCCAGAACUGUGGGAACUCUCCAUCCAGCCCCAUACAACAAAGAAGAGGAAUUUAAGGUCCAACCAAAACUGGAAAAGGAGAGGGAAAACUCUCACACUGAUGUGUGGGGGAUGGAUUGAAGAACACCUUCCAACAAGGGCGGUGAUUCACACUUACUGAAGGCUCACUUGCUAUCUUGUUUGGAUUUCCCUGUUCACGCUACUCCAAGGAGAAGACAUGGGAAUCACCAUCGACAUUUUAUGGCCAAAGAACCCCAGGCAACCGGCCAGCCCUCAAGGUCUCCCAGGAAGGGAGGCGGUCUUUGACCCAGACCCAGUGUCGCCUCCAUCAUGCCUCCUUGACCUUGAAACCAUGCCUCCUUGAUCUUGAAGGCUCCUCCAGAAAAAGGAACACUGGCUCCAAGGCAUAAUCAAAGGAGAUGUGCAGCAUUCCUAAGCACAGUCAGACAUUUCCUGGGAGUACAGGAGCUUCAGCUUGAUCAUUAGUUGUCACAACUUCACUGGCCUCCAUCAGCAGAGCUAGCCAUGCCUCUGACUUUGAAAACAAAGGAUGCAGAAAAGCAGAGAUGCCUCCCACUUAUAAAAGUAUGUGAAGCCUGUAGUCUGAUGAUAUUAUUUUAGUAUCCAUCAUACAGUACUUUCUAGGAGAAGGCAAUGGCACCCCACUCCAGUCCUUUUGCCUGGGAAAUCCCAUGGGCGGAGGAGCCUGGUAGGCUGCAGUCCAUGGGGUCGCUAGGAGUCAGACACGACUGAGCGACUUCACUUUCACUUUUCACUUUGAUGCAUUGGAGAAGGAAAUGGCAACCCACUCCAGUGUUCUUGCCUGGAGAAUGCCGGGGAUGGAGGAGCCUGGUGGGCUGCCGUCUAUGGGGUCGCACACAGUCGGACACGACUGAAGCGACUUAGCAGCAGCAGCAGCAUACUUUACAUCUUUCUCCCUUCCUCCAGGGCACUUGUAAACAAGGGAUAUAUAUGUUACAUUUCUCCUCCAUGCCUUGGUCUAGUCCUCACUCUGACAUUCCCAGCCAAAGUAGAUUAACUCAGAAGUUGGCAGUCUCUCCUGCUGGCCUGUGUCCGUGCUUAUAUAUGUGUGUGUGUGCACACA